rnacentral:lncRNA from 1 species
UCACAGCCUGCUCCGCUCAGGGGACUCUGAUGAGGGGCAGAAAAAGGACGACAGCGUCACAUCAGUGCACAGCCCCGGCCUCCACACCCCGUCACCUCGGCCACCCCGAGCCCUCUCCCCGCUGCCUCCUGGCCUCUCCCGGCCCUGCUCCGGCCGCCUGGAGGCCGCGCGGCCACCACGGCUCCUGCCUCGCUCCUGGCUCCGGCUGCAUCCUCAUCCUCCCUGGAGCCCACCGGCCCUGGCGGCACUCACAGCGGGCUGCUGGAGCCCACCGGGGUGGAGACCAGAAACCCGGGCACGCAGAGCGGCUGGGGCUGUGCACAGGGUACACACAGGGAUACACACACGGACACACACACGGAUACACACACGGAUACAGACAUGGACACACACACGUGGAUACACACAUGGAUACAGACAUGGACACACACACGGAUACACACACGGAUACAGACAUGGACACACACAUGGAUACACACAGGGUACACACAGGGAUACACACACGGAUACAGACAUGGACACACACACGGAUACACACAGGGUACACACAGGGAUACACACAUGGACAUACACACGGAUACACACACAUGGAUACACACAGGGUACACACAGGGAUACACACAGGGAUAUACACAGGGAUACAAACGGAUACACACAUGGACACACACACGGAUACAGACAUGGACACACACAGGGAUACACACACGGAUACAGACAUGGACACACACACGGAUACACACACGGAUACAGACAUGGACACACACACGGAUACACACACGGAUACAGACAUGGACACACACACGGACAUACACACGGAUACACACACAUGGAUACACACAGGGUACACACAGGGAUACACACAGGGAUAUACACAGGGAUACAAACAGGGAUACACACAUGGACACACACACGGAUACAGACAUGGACACACACAGGGAUACACACAGGGUACGCACAUGGACACACACACGAAUACACACAGGGAUACACACAUGGACACACACACGGAUACAGACAUGGACACACACACGGAUACACACAGGGUACACACAUGGACACACACAGAUACAGACAUGGACACAUGCAUGGAUAUAGACAUGGAUACACACAGGGAUACACACACAUGGAUCCACACACGGAUACACACAGGGAUACACACAGGGACACACAGGGAUACAUACAUGGACACAUGCAUGGAUAUAGACAUGGAUACACACAGGGAUACACACACAUGGAUACACACACGGAUACAGACAUGGAUACACACACACGGACACACACAUGAAUACACACAUGGAUAUACACAGGGAUACACACAUGGACACACACAUAGACACAUACACAGAUACAGACAUGGAUACACACAGGGAUACACACACAUGGACACACACAUGGAUACACACACAUGGAUACACACAUGGAUACACACACAUGAAUACACACAGGGAUGCACACACAUGGAUACACACAUGGACACAUACAUGGAUACACACAUGGAUACACACAUGGAUACAUGCAGGGAUACACACACAUGGAUACACACACAGGGAUGCACACACAUGGACACACACAUGGAUACACACAUGGAUACACACAUGGACACACCAUGGAUACACACAGGGAUGCACACGCAUGGAUACACACACAUGGAUACACACAUGGUUACACACAUGGACAUACACAUGGAUACACACAUGGAUGCACACACCUGGACACACACAUGGAUACACACAUGGACACACACAUGGUUACACACAUGGACACACACAUGGAUACACACAUGGAUACAUGCAGGGAUACACACAUGGAUACAUGCAGGGAUACACACAUGGAUACACACAGGGGUACACACACAUGGAUCCACACACGGAUAAACACACACAGAUACACACAAAGGGACACACACAGAUAUAUACACAUGGACAACAUACACGGAUACACACACAUUGAUACACACAUACGGAUACAGACAUGGAUACACACACACGGAUACACAAUCAGGGAUACACACACAUGGCUACACACAUGGAUACAUACCUGGAUACACACACAGGGAUAAACACACAUGGAUACACACAGAAUACACACACACGGAUACACACAUGGAUACACACAGGGAUACACACACAUGGAUACACACAGGGAUACACAAUCAGGGAUACACACACAUGGAUACACACAUGGACACACACAGAAUACACACACACGGAUACACACACAGACACGCACACACAUGGACACACACGGAUCCACACUGGGAUUCAUCCCAGCAGGAUGCUCCGCCCUGCUCGCGGUGCGGGGGACAGCCAUGCUCACACUGCGGGGACAGAAAGCAGCA